CUUCCCCUCUAAGAAUAAACAAAUAAAAUUUUAAAAAAAGAGUUGUAAAACAAACAUGUAACAGAGAGUUAUACGACACUCUAAUCCUAAAAUAUUUAAUAUUUGGUCUUUUUAGAAAAACUUCCCAACCCCUGAUUCUAAGUUCAUUUUGAAGUACCUACACUGCCUAGU